rnacentral:rRNA from 1 species
GACGAACGCUGGCGGCGUGCCUAAUACAUGCAAGUCGAACGGAUUCCCUUCGGGGAGUCAGUGGCGGACGGGUGCGUAACACGUGGGUGACCUGCCUUUCAGUGGGGAAUAACGCGACGAAAGUCGCGCUAAUACCGCAUAUGCUUAGCUCUUCGUUGGGUUAAGUAAAGCCUAGAGCGCUGAAAGAGGGGCCUGCGGCCGAUUAGCUAGUCGGUGGGGUAACGGCCUACCGAGGCGACGAUCGGUAGCUGGUCUGAGAGGAUGACCAGCCACACUGGGACUGAGACACGGCCCAGACUGCUACGGGAGGCAGCAGUAAGGAAUAUUCCACAAUGGGCGCAAGCCUGAUGGAGCAACGCCGCGUGCAUGAUGAAGCCCUUCGGGGUGUAAAAUGCUUUUCUCAGGGAUGAUCCCAGACAGUACCUGAGGAAUAAGUCUCGGCUAACUACGUGCCAGCAGCCGCGGUAACAC